rnacentral:rRNA from 1 species
UACGUAGGCAGCGAGCGUUGUUCGGAGUUACUGGGCGUAAAGGGUGUGUAGGCGGUUUUCUAAGUUUGGUGUGAAAUCUCCCGGCUCAACCGGGAGGGUGCGCCGAAAACUGGGAGACUAGAGUGCGGGAUGGGAGAGUAGAAUUCCUGGUGUAGCGGUGAAAUGCGUAGAUAUCAGGAGGAACACCAGUGGCGAAGGCGAGUCCCUGGACAACUUCUGACGCUGAGGCACGAAAGCUAGGGGAGCAAACAGG